GGAGGGAAGGAGAAGACUAGGCGAUAGAGGAGUCACUGGGGUCUCCUGGGAAUGGUUAAUAUUUGAAGCAUAUAAGGUUUAUUUUUGAGGCCUCUGUGUUUGUUCAGUGGCUAAUGAGUAGUACUGGCAGCAGGCAGGCAGCUAUCUUAGCGGUCGUAGUAAACGGGAGCUAUGUUACCUUCACUGCAUUUAGGAGCGCCCGGUGAGGAGAGCUGGUGUUCGUAGUGGUGGACUAUUUUUGUCGGCUGUAUCGACUCAACCAAUCAGAGCCUGGCACUCAUGUACAUGACCCUGGGCCAAGAACACGUAUGUAAUGCGCUGCACGGCCACCUCUCUCUCCAUACACGUUUGACAUACUCAGACAUGACAGACUUCUUCCACAUGAGGUUUAAGAUGGAGACUCCGACAUCAUCAAAUCUGUCGUUCUGCCCCUGAACAAGGCAGUUAACCCAGUGUUCCUAGGCCGUCACUGAAAAUAAGAAUUUGUUCUUAACUGACUUGCCUAGUUAAAUAAAGGUAAAAUAAAUAAAGAAUCGGAGGACGAGAGAAAAGGAGAAGACCAAGUACCGAUGACCUGUGUUAAGAGCCGGCUUUACCAACAUCAGCAAAUCAAUAUUUUUAUACCAGAGUCGUUCUUGAAUUGCGGUGGCAUUUGGGUAUGGCAUACAACAACAACAAAAAAAAACAUUAUUUCUAGAUAUGUAUUUACCAUUAGGAUAACAUUGUGCCACCAGUAGGAGUCAUAACACCAAUGAGAAUUUUGGUUAUUGAGGAUUUUCUUAAAUGGAGGCCACAGAUGCUUAAAUCUAAGGUCAUUAACCCAUAAAAUAGUUGACUAAAGGGAUAUGAUUAAUAAUUUAGCUCAAUGUUAUUUCCCUUCAUUUUAAAUUGACACCAAGUGAUACUGGAUUUAGACACACCACAUUAUCAAUGGAAUCCUCAAAUGUAUGACAUAAUAAAAGAAAGUGUGAUUAGCUAACACUUUUCUUUAAUAAAGACCCCUGAUGUUUUCCUCCGGAGGGAAGGGUCGAGGUCCUUGUAUAUCUUUGUAAUGAGUGGUUUUCAAGGUGGUAACACCAAGGAAAUAAAACGGACGGAUAUAGUAGUAAAAAAAAAAAAGUAUUUUAAUAGCCUUUGUUUUUAUUAAUCUAUACAAUAUAUAUUAAAUACCUUUUUCAUUUACUAACAUUCAAAAUAAUAUAUAGCUCUAAAUCCCCAAAAUGUCACUACAACGUCACACAUCACUACUGGGACAAGCCAAUGUGAUUACUUACCCUAAGUACUUUAUACUGCAAAACUUUCUGUUAAUACAUUGUUAAAUGGACUUGCAUUACAGUAGCUAAGAGGUGGUGAAGUUUGUCUAUGAUAAGGCGCUGCUCUACCUUCUUAACAGCGCUGUCAACAAGGCAGGUCCUACAGGCCCUAGUUUCUACCUUCUUAACAACACUAUCAACAAGGCAGGUCCUACAGACCCUAGGUUUGUCACACCUGGACUACUGUUCAGUCGUGUGGUCAGGUGCCACAAAAAAGGACUUAAGAAAAUUGCAAUUGGUUCAGAACAGGUCAGCACGGCUGGCACUUGAAUGCACGCAGAGAGCUAAUAAAUCAAAUCAAAGUUUAUUUGUCACGUGCGCCGAAUACAACAGGUGUAGACCUUACAGUGAAAUGCUUACUUACAGGCUCUAACCAAUAGUGCAAAAAAGGUAUUA